rnacentral:rRNA from 1 species
UACGUGGGGUGCGAGCGUUAAUCGGAUUUACUGGGCGUAAAGCGUGCGCAGGCGGCCCGUUAAGACAGGUGUGAAAUCCCUGGGCUCAACCUAGGAAUUGCGCUUGUGACUGGCGGGCUCGAGUACGGUAGAGGGGGGUGGAAUUCCUGGUGUAGCAGUGAAAUGCGUAGAGAUCAGGAGGAACACCGAUGGCGAAGGCAGCCCCCUGGGCCUGUACUGACGCUCAUGCACGAAAGCGUGGGGAGCAAACAGG